UCUACAAAAACGACUCUUAGAAGUAAAUGAGAAUUCAUUGAGGAACAUUAAGCGUUUUUGGAUGGAGCUUUCAGCAAACAUCAGGAAAUGUGGUAUCUGCCACUAAAUUAACCUCACUUUCAUGAAUGCCCCUGCCACAGAGGGAUUGACUGAAGCCCAAUAGACCCAAAGAAGGACUCAGACUCACCAGCUUGGGCCAUGUUUCCACCACUAACUGAAGUAACUGUGGCUACUAGAACAUGUAGCCUGUGCUCUUAGCCAUAGUGCUUCAGAUAAGCACAAUAAUAUUAGUGAUCUAUCACUUACUUCUAUACUAUGUGCCAGGUACAAUUGUAAGUAAUGUGCAUACGUAGUAUGGACUUAAUCUCACCACAGCCCUAUAAGGUUAAGAAACCAGUGAAGGAUCUCCAGUGAUAAAUAUGUCCAUCCUGAUAGUGCAUUCUGGAACUGGAGACAUGAUCACAAAGUGAGAUCAUGGUCCUGUUAGACCCACUGUGAGACAGCCUUGGAAAAAGUCUCAAUCUGUCUGCCCGCCUUUCUAUGCCCCAGUUUAACAGGGGGCCCAUGAUGAUAGCAUUAGCGUCAAUUCAGGUACUCUAUACAACAACCCUUGAAAGAUACUGGUAUUCACCUUCAAUUACUGUACACCUCUCUGGUAUAUUACUACACAUUUUUGGGGGAAGGAUUGGGUUAUAGCUACUAUGUAUACUUGCUGCAACUUGUCAGGGUCUUUUAUUUAGAAGAACUGGCUACCUUUUCAAUCAGUGGGCUCCGAGUCUGAGAAUUGCCUCAGUUCUAGAACCUGCAUAAGGCAUCGUGAUAGUUUUAUUGCAG
rnacentral:lncRNA from 10 species